rnacentral:tRNA from 1 species
ACAUGUUGUGGCCGACGGCGCGGCUGCCGUUCGUGAAUGCGCCGGUGUAGGUCGUACCCGUGAGGUUCGACACGUCGAACACGUGC